rnacentral:lncRNA from 1 species
GAGUUCGUUGUGACCUCGUAAAACAACAAGUUUGGUUGUGAGCUUGUAAAACAACCGGCUGUAAUCCGAGGGGUUAUAGUGAAUUCCCAAGUGAGGCUUGGGGAGUGGACGUAGGAGCAAGGGUUAGCUCCGAACCACUAUAAAUUCCUUGUGUUUGUGAUUGUUCUAUUGUCCCUUAUCUUCAUUUCAUUCACAGCACAUAGCAUCUAAUUAAUCAACUUGCAAAAGGUGUUAAUUAGUAUUUCAUAAAUCAUUUAAUUGUUAUAAUUAUUUUUAAAACCCAAUUCACCCCCC